rnacentral:lncRNA from 1 species
CGUGCCAGGCCGGAGCACGGAGGUAUAGCGGGAACUCGUCUUCAGGAAGGGCAAAAGCGAGAACGUAGGACAGAAGAGAGACAGGAGGGAGGCAGGGAGGCCGAACCGCACUACAUCUCCCGGGAUGCUCAGCAAGAGGGAGAGCCGAGCCCCGCCCCGGCCCGCCCAACCGGUACAGCAGGCGCUGCCCACCCCACGGAGCCCGGCGGCGCGCAGAGGCUACAAGUGCUGCGGCUUGUGAGCGGGGUACUUUCCCGAGGAGCCGCGCAAGGACAAGCGCGCGGUGCUCGAGCCUCGCUGGGUGGCCAAGGCAGGAGGAAACCUGCCUUCUCGUUUGAGGGAUCCUGUCACCGAAAUGUACAUGAAUAAGUCGACUGAGGAAAAUAUAGUAGAAAGAAGAAUUCGUCAGCACAUUGUCAGGUAAGUAUAAGGAUUACACCAUAUAAAUAGCUACGAUGAAUAAUUUAUUUGAUAGAUAGAUGGCAUCAUUUGGUCUGAACUGUACUUCAACAGUUUUCCUUCCUCUUCUUUUAGGGCUUUUAUGAGUUUAGGUUUUGUGUCAGAAUAUACGUCAGUGGAAAAAGAAAUACCUGUUUAACAAUUAAAAAAUAUUCUUAUUUGCCAAGAGGCCUAUAGUUAUUCUGAGAAGUUGGUUUUACUGUUGUUGAUUUCUAUCCAAUUGCAAAAGAAAAACAGAUUAGUAGGAAAAUUACUAAUUUAUUUUCUCACUGUGCUAAACCAUCCUGGUUUUAAAAAAGGAAUGGCCCACUUUGUAGCUUGUUACUCACAGACUGAACUUCUUCCUGCUCAGGGAGAGUGAGUGGAAAGUAAAACUACUCUAUAUGAUAAAUACAAGGAACUUUAGAGUUGGAUAUAGGCAUCUAGGGAGAAAAGAGAAGGACAGAGGGAGAAAAGAACAGAGGGAGAGGGCCCGAGAAAGUGGUUAGAGGCUUCAGAAGGAAAAGUCUACUUGUUGACAAAUUCCCAGUUGCAAAGAUGGCAGAAGGGUUUUGAAAAUCAGCGAUGUUGCAUAUUUAAUAUUAAGCUGGUCCCUAGUCCUAAUUAUUCUGUAUGUUCUCUCUCAAUGUCUUUAAGCCUUUCAUACAAGUCAGCCAUAUAUAACAGCCUCAUAUUAGUGGAGCCAUGGGGAAUUUAAGGGUAGGACAUAGAAGAGAAGGGCAGACCCCUUGGCAUUACUCUUCUGCUGAUGCCCACAUGGUGGAGGCACCAGCAGUCGAGGGGGCUGCUUGUUCCAGAAUUCCAUGAUCUUUAGCAAAGCAAGUGAAGAUGUGAACUAGACCUAAGAGCAGAAGGUAGAUGCUAGCAUUAGUAGAAAAGUAGGCUCUGGUAUGCACUGACGUACUUUUAAUUUCUCCCAAACUGGCUAGAGGAAGGGGGUCCUUGAAAAGAGUUGUGAUGAGGGUGGGGGAGGGAAGUGGUUGUGGAUGAAAGCUACAAACACUUGUGUUAUGGGAGUAAAUGGUAGAAAUUGAGAUAGGAAACAACAACUACAUGUCAUGGUUAUGUAAACUGAAGUUUAUUCUACCAAUAAUGGAGGAAAUACUGUGAUUUUCUUAAAAAGAAAAAUGGCAUAAUCAGAAUUUAGUUUUAGAAAGAAAACUCAGAUAAUGGGGUAGAGAUCAGAUUGGAAAAGUGGGUAAAGACUGUUGGGAAACAAUAGAAAGGGGCCAAGGAGAAAUGAUGAACUUGAAGAGUGAAGGAAGAAACUGAGAGGAGGUAAUAUAUUAGGCAUUUCAAAGAUCAGAUAAAGUUAAUGACUGAUUUGAAUAGGGUGGGGCCAUUGAGAGAAAUCACUUGGAUAAUUUGUCACUGACCAAGUUAUGAAAAGCACAGGAAAAAGCACUACGUUUGGUGGAAAAAAGAUAUGCUGUGUUUGAGGUAUGUGGGGGACAUUCAAGUGAAGGUGUCUAACGGUCAGUGGAAAAAUGAGUCUGGAGUACUAGAAUGAGGUUGGGUUUAUUUGUGAUAUAAAGGUAUGUGACAAUAUUCUCUUAACCCAAAAUUAGGGCCCAGGGUCUUUCAAAUUUUCAAUGGUGAGUGAAUUUAUUUUCAUGAAAAAGUUUUAUGAAUAUGAGAAUGUGGAAGUAUAUUGUUAGAUUUUAAUUAGUUACCAUCAAGUAAAAAAAUAAAGCCACUGAAAUCAAAACAUCCCUGGAAAAUCCAGGAUAUAUGGUCACUAUACUUUCAUCUCAUCUAUUUCAAAGAGGGUCAAUACAAUUGUGAUGUAAACCAAAGCUUAAUAAUAUUCAAAAUCAAUCAGAAGGAAAGCAAGGGAAUACCUGAAGUUAGUCAAUAGCCACAAUAAAAGUUUAAAAGUUAACCUUGAGGUUUCUAUUAAACAAAGUGAAAAAUAGAGUGAAGAAUAUUGGAUCACAGUUAUGAAGUACCUGAUAAAAAGAAAGUCUAGAUAUUAAUUUAGACAGAGAAACAUUUCCUUGUGCAAAAUUUUAGGAGGUAUUAUCAUGUGGAUCUUUAGAUAAAGGCCAAUGAGUAACAUAAUGGAAAAUCAUUUUAGUAAGGCUAAGAAAUGUUCUUCAUAUCAUUAAGUCCGAAAGGAAGAUAGGUUUUUCAGAAAACUAGGAUACUACAGCCCAAGUUGCUUUCUGAUGAUAACUUAAUUAAGGAAUGGAGCCGGAAUUAUCUUGAGGAUUGAAUAGUUAGCAUGCUUCUCCGGCUGACUCUUAAAUAUUGAUUUUUUUCAAGUAAGCUUCUUACAAAAUUGCUGAAUUUCUGAUCUUUUGUUGAAUUCUCUGAUGGGUGUCUAGAAAGUAUGUUUCAAAUGCUUCAGGUGUCAGUUAUAGGGGAAGAGUUGAGAUUCUACAGUGAAAACUUCAGAGGCUCCUUUUUAUGUUGGUCUGUAUGGAAGUUCUUACCAUGUGUCCGUGAAUGGGGUCCACUAGGGACCAGGCAAAAGUCCAUCUAACUUAAAAAAUUAUUUUGAAAUUUUUCAAUCACUAAGAGAAUUUUCAUUCCAUGAAAGGUGCAGAAUAUGAUUUUAGCUUGAAAACUUUGAAGGUCUAUGUUUAUAAUGUGUUACCUUGGCCAAAAAAAAAUAACCUCUUUAUUGUCUCUGUAGAGAACAUCUUGGUGAGUCUACAAGGUCCAAAUGAAAUCUCAAUAAUAGUUACCCUUCAUUACUGCUUUCACUGAGCACCUUCAAAUAUUAUCUCUUUUAAAAUCCUGCUAGAUAAGGUUAUUUAGUGUCUCCUGCUUAAAUAUUAGGAUAUGCCAGUCAAUGCAAAUGUUUUCACUGUUAAUUAGAUUAUGUUAAUGCUACUGAAAAUAAUCUGCCAAUGUGCUUCCUGCUUUUCCUAAUACCCUGAUAUUAGGGAACAGGCUGGUUCUUACAAACUCUUCCAAAACAAAUUCCACAGAGACAAAGCCUGCCCCAAAAGAUUUGGUCAGAAUGCUAGGAGCACUUUAGACUUCAGAAGAUACCCCAUUCCAAUUAUUGUAUGUCAAAUGUCAGAGUUUAGGGCAGAAAUAUAGAGGGUCAAUAUGUUUACAAGUUCAUCUCUAGGAAUAGUGAUGUAUUCAAUAAAUCAUGGGCUUUUCUUAGUGACAAAGACUAUCAUUUAUAAUAAUAAAUGAGUCUGAUAAGGUAUUUUCUGUUUUGAUACAGGAGGCUGUCUAUGAAGAAAUGGCUUAGAAAGAAACAAUUUUUCCAAUGCAGGUUUCCUGUGAGUGAUAUUUCAUAGUAGAACCAAAGCAGAACCACUGCAAAUCAUGGUAUUCAAAUCUUAUCUGAGAUUGCCCGUACAUGGAUCCUAGCAAUGUUCAGAAAGCUGUCAAUUGAAGAAUAGCAUCUUGCAGGCUUUCUCUACUUGUAUUAAUAGGACCCUUCCAGGUGGGUCUCAACCCCAAACUGGGCCAUGCUUCUAAGAAACACGUUCUUAAAUAUACCAUAUCAGGUUAAAAAUUGAAUGUCGGUAUGAAAUUGUUCUGGCUGAUCCACUUAUAUGUGUUUAUCAAGCUUUUUUUUUUUUACUAGAAAAUUAGCUAAGAAAGAAUUCCAUAACAUCUAACAUAGAGAAAUUGACUUUCUAAAAGCAGGUCCAUUCUUUCUCUUCCAUCAUCUCUGUUCCCUCUACUAGAUGUUUCUAUUCAUGUCCUAGUCUUUGAAAUCAAUCAAUUGAUGCAAACUGCUAAGACCUUAGCAAGGUUGUAUUGUGUAUGGGGUCACCAAGCUCAUAACCACUUCUUAAAGUCCUGGAUAAUGAAGGCCCUUGAGAAUAGUGACUUAAAAUCGAAGCAUUACAGGUAGCUGGAGAAGAGAGUACCCCAGAUAAGGCAGAUAUGUCAGACCUGACCCUCUGUUCUCAGGACUGGCUAAGCUCUGAUCUCCAGUUCAAACUUGAAGCUGAGGGUCAAGGACGAUAUUAGUGUAGGAACAGCAAAUGUGCCCUAUACAAUCUUCACCUCUUACACCUAAUUCCAACCACAGGCAAAUCCAGUACCAGAGGCUGUGUAGGUUGAGGCUGUGUACCUGAAAUUGAUAACCACAUUGACUUGAUAUGAUGAAAACUCAAGAGGAAGAGACUGGAGGGCCCAGACACAUUGGAGCCCUAAAAUGAUGUAGCAGGGAGAUGAAUACUUGGAUCAACUCAGCUUGAUUGAGUUCUUACAGAUUUUCUGCAGCUGAGGGAAUGAGUUCAUCUCUGGCAAAACUAGGUCGAAUCUUACUCUUACAGGUGCCUAGGACAGUACAGAAUGUCUUUAAAUGUCAGAUACAUGCAUUUUUAGCAGACAGUAAAUUGGAAGCAGGGAUCAAACCAGAGUGAGAUGAGCUGAAAGAAGAGGCACAACCCCUCCAGCAGCAGUUCAAGCUCAGAUCCUCUGUGUCAUUGUCCAGACAUGACCUCCCCCAUCUUAGCCUAAAGGGCAAGCAUAGCAUAGGGAAAUAUUCUGUAUCUUUAAAUGGCAUCAGCAGGAUGAGGCAGCCACAAGACCUUUGUCUUUAACUUCAUCAUGCACACAGAUAGGGUAAGGGUUUUUUUCAUCUUAAACUCAAAGCAAACCCUAUUUCAGAGCUGGAAAAAAUGUGAAUGGCAUCUAGAAAUUCACUUUUUUAUUCAACCUCCAUUCUCCUGGUGCUCAGGCAUAGCCAGAAUUUUACUCUCUCCCUUUUAUUAACCCUUAUCUUCCCUUUAUCACUCUAGGAAGGUAAUGGUAUUUUUUUUUAGUCAAGCCAAAUAUUUGGGAGUUUUAUUUGUGUAUGUUUUUGUUUUGUUUAGUCUUGGUUGUAGAAAGUGCCAAGUCUAUUGAAAUU